GCUAGGAUGAACGCUGGCGGCGUGCCUAAUACAUGCAAGUCGAACGGACUGUAGCAAUACAGUUAGUGGCGAACGGGUGAGUAACACGUAGGUAACCUGCCCUCAAGACUGGGAUACCCAGACGAAAGUUUGGCUAAUACCGGAUAACAACUCUGGAGGCAUCUCCGGAGUUUGAAAGGCGCCUUUAAAGCGCCACUUAAGGAUGGACCUGCGGUGCAUUAGCUAGUUGGUGAGAUAACAGCCCACCAAGGCGAGGAUGCAUAGCCGAUCUGAGAGGAUGACCGGCCACAAUGGGACUGAGACACGGCCCAUACUCCUACGGGAGGCAGCAGUAGGGAGUUUUCGGCAAUGGGCGAAAGCCUGACCGAGCAACGCCGCGUGAGUGAUGAAGGUCUUUCCGGAUCGUAAAGCUCUGUUACGAGGGAUGAACGAUAGCUUCAGGAAAUGGUUGCUAUUUGACAGUACCUCGCCAGAAAGUGACGGCUAACUACGUGCCAGCCGCUGC
rnacentral:rRNA from 1 species